UGUUUGUAUAGUGUGUGUAUAUAAUGCAGUGUGUUUGUGUAGUGUGUGUAGAUAAUGCACACUACACACACACUGCAUUAUAUACACACACUAUACAAAC
rnacentral:miRNA from 1 species